rnacentral:rRNA from 1 species
GGUUAACCGAAUAGGGGAGCCGGAGGGAAACCGAGUCUUAACCGGGCGUUAAGUUGCAGGGUAUAGACCCGAAACCCGGUGAUCUAGCCAUGGGCAGGUUGAAGGUUGGGUAACACUAACUGGAGGACCGAACCGACUAAUGUUGAAAAAUUAGCGGAUGACCUGUGGCUGGGGGUGAAAGGCCAAUCAAACCGGGAGAUAGCUGGUUCUCCCCGAAAGCUAUUUAGGUAGCGCCUCGUGAAUUCAUCUCCGGGGGUAGAGCACUGUUUCGGCUAGGGGGCCAUCCCGGCUUACCAACCCGAUGCAAACUGCGAAUACCGGAGAAUGUUAUCACGGGAGACACACGGCGGGUGCUAACGUCCGUCGUGAAGAGGGAAACAACCCAGACCGCCAGCUAAGGUCCCAAAGUCAUGGUUAAGUGGGAAACGAUGUGGGAAGGCCCAGACAGCCAGGAUGUUGGCUUAGAAGCAGCCAUCAUUUAAAGAAAGCGUAAUAGCUCACUGGUCGAGUCGGCCUGCGCGGAAGAUGUAACGGGGCUAAACCAUGCACCGAAGCUGCGGCAGCGACGCUUAUGCGUUGUUGGGUAGGGGAGCGUUCUGUAAGCCUGUGAAGGUGUGUCGUGAGGC